CAAUAGCGUAUAUUAACGUUGUUGCAGUUAAAAAGCUCGUAGUUGGAUUUCUGGAGGGAGCGUCGGCCCGUAUUUACGAGUGCGUGACGUCUCUGUCCAUCCUUGCGGGAAGGCACGGCAUUGAUUUGUUGUGUCGGAUCGCAUCAUUUACUGUGAAAAAAUUAGAGUGUUCAAAGCAGGCUUUCGCUUGAAUACAUUAGCAUGGAAUAAUAAGAUAGGACUUUGGUGCUAUUUUGUUGGUUGAGCCUAAAGUAAUGAUUAAUAGGGAUAGUUGGGGGCACCUGAAUUGCGUUGUCAGAGGUGAAAUUCUUGGAUUUACGCAAGACAAACAGCUGCGAAAGCGUCUGCCAAGGAUGUUUUCAUUA
rnacentral:rRNA from 1 species